UCAAAGGUUAUAUGAUGGACAGCAGAGAAAGAAAAAAAAACCUUUUCAAUUAUCCUGCUCCUGGAUAAAUGUAGAACAUCUUGUUCUUCGAAGGAUUGAAAUUCACCACCUAGAAUACAUGGAGAAAACAUAGAAACAAGACCAGAAUAAAUUCAAAGACAAAAGUUGGAUCAGUUAUUAUUUUCAUCACUCUGUGAAUGAUUUGAAGUUCUUUUAAAUUCAAAAAAAUAUUGAAACCACAAUAAUGUCAAAGUUUUGUGCUGAAUGUCCAAAAAGUGGACUAUACCAUCAAACAAUGCUGGAUGAUAAGAAACUAUUAAUGUUUUGUGUUGAGGGAUAUUGUGAAAAAAAUAGAUUUACUUAAAUAGCUACUAGUAUGUUAAGCCUAACAAUAGAGUUUUUAUUGAUUUCAAAUGGCAAAUAAUUGUGUUUCAAGAAAGUUUUCUAUAAUUCAUGAAUAAACAUAUAUUGAUACUUA